rnacentral:rRNA from 1 species
CCUAACACAUGCAAGUCGAGCGCGCCCUUCGGGGUGAGCGGCGGACGGGUUAGUAACGCGUGGGAACGUACCCUUUUCUACGGAAUAGCCUUUGGAAACGAAGAGUAAUACCGUAUACGCCCUUUGGGGGAAAGAUUUAUCGGAGAAGGAUCGGCCCGCGUUAGAUUAGAUAGUUGGUGGGGUAACGGCCUACCAAGUCUACGAUCUAUAGCUGGUUUUAGAGGAUGAUCAGCAACACUGGGAUUGAGACACGGCCCAGACUCCUACGGGAGGCAGCAGUGGGGAAUCUUAGACAAUGGGCGCAAGCCUGAUCUAGCCAUGCCGCGUGAGUGAUGAAGGCCUUAGGGUCGUAAAGCUCUUUCGCCUGUGAUGAUAAUGACAGUAGCAGGUAAAGAAACCCCGGCUAACUCCGUGCCAGCCAGCCGCGGUAAUACGGAGGGGGUUAGCGUUGUUCGGAAUUACUGGGCGUAAAGCGCACGUAGGCGGAUUAGUAAGUUAGAGGUGAAAUCCCAGGGCUCAACCCUGGAACUGCCUUUAAUACUGCUAGUCUUGAGUUCGAGAGAGGUAAGUGGAAUUCCGAGUGUAGAGGUGAAAUUCGUAGAUAUUCGGAGGAACACCAGUGGCGAAGGCGGCUUACUGGCUCGAUACUGACGCUGAGGUGCGAAAGUGUGGGGAGCAAACAGGAUUAGAUACCCUGGUAGUCCACACCGUAAACGAUGAAUGCCAGACGUCAGCAAGUAUACUUGUUGGUGUCACACCUAACGGAUUAAGCAUUCCGCCUGGGGAGUACGGUCGCAAGAUUAAAACUCAAAGGAAUUGACGGGGGCCCGCACAAGCGGUGGAGCAUGUGGUUUAAUUCGAAGC